UGCCAUGAAUGACAUAGUUGGAGCAGACAAACAUUUGUUUCCCAGAAUACAAAAUUAUGGUUCAUUGCAGUUCUUGACAUUGAGGAACUGUUCACUCACUGGUCCAAUUCCUGAUCAUAUCUGGAAGUUGAAAUCCUUGACUUACCUGGACUUGAGUUUCAACAGUUUGGUUGGAGGAAUUCCACCAGAUGUGGAUUUGCCAAACAUAC